UACGAAGGGGGCUAGCGUUGCUCGGAAUCACUGGGCGUAAAGCGCACGUAGGCGGCUUGUUAAGUCAGGGGUGAAAUCCUGGAGCUCAACUCCAGAACUGCCUUCGAUACUGUAGAGCUUGAGUUCGGGAGAGGUGAGUGGAACUGCGAGUGUAGAGGUGAAAUUCGUAGAUAUUCGCAAGAACACCAGUGGCGAAGGCGGCUCACUGGCCCGAUACUGACGCUGAGGUGCGAAAGCGUGGGGAGCAAACAGG
rnacentral:rRNA from 1 species